GCCGACAUAGCUCAAUUGGUAGAGCAUCGCCCUUGUAACGCGAAGGUUCUCAGUUCAAGUCUGAGUAUCGGCU
rnacentral:tRNA from 1 species